rnacentral:rRNA from 1 species
CCUACGUGAGGCUGCAGUGGGGAAUAUUGCACAAUGGGCGAAAGCCUGAUGCAGCAACGCCGCGUGAAGGAAGACGGUUUUCGGAUUGUAAACUUCUGUUCUUAGUGACGAAUCAUGACGGUAACUAAGGAGCAAGCAACGGAUAACUACGUGCCAGCAGCCGCGGUAAUACGUAGGGGGCAAGCGUUAUCCGGAUUUACUGGGUGUAAAGGGAGCGUAGACGGUGCGCCAAGUCUGGAGGGAAAUGCCGCAGCUUAACUGCGGAACUGCUUUGGAAACUGGCGAACUAGAGUGCGGGAGGGGUAAGCGGAAUUCCUAGUGUAGCGGUGAAAUGCGUAGAUAGUAGGAGGAACACCGGUGGCGAAGGCGGCUUACUGGACCGUAACUGACGUUGAGGCUCGAAAGCGUGGGGAGCAAACAGGAUUAGAUACCCGUGUAGUC